ACUCUAGUAUUGACCCCAAUCCACAUGUGUUGAGGUGGUUUGGGGUGUAAAUUAGUUUAAGUUAUAGUUCAAUCCACCUCAAUACAUGUGGAUUGAGGUCGAUACUAGA
rnacentral:pre_miRNA from 1 species